rnacentral:misc_RNA from 1 species
CGCAGCCGCGGUAAUUCCAGCUCCAAUAGCGUAUAUUAAAGUUGCUGCAGUUAAAAAGCUCGUAGUUGAAUUUCGGGACUAAUAUGUCGGUCGUGCUUCGGUACGUACUGGCGUAAUUGAUUUCUCCCUUCUGACGAACCAUGAUGUCAUUAACUUGGUGUCAUGGGAAAUCAGGACUGUUACUUUGAAAAAAUUAGAGUGUUUAAAGCAAGCUAACGCUUGAAUACAUUAGCAUGGAAUAAUGAAAUAGGACGUUCGAUCCUAUUUUGUUGGUUUCUAGGAUUGACGUAAUGAUUAAUAGGGAUAGUUGGGGGCAUUAGUAUUCAAUUGUCAGAGGUGAAAUUCUUGGAUUUAUUGAAGACUAACUACUGCGAAAGCAUUUUGCCAAGGAUGUUUUCAUUAAUCAAGAAGGAAAGUUAGGGGGUCGAAGACGAUCAGAUACCGUCGUAGUCUUAACCAUAAACUAUGCCGACUAGGGAUCGGAUGAUGUUAAUUUUUUAAUGACUCAUUCGGCGCCUUA